ensembl:lncRNA
CAGAGAUGUUUUGAUGUUAUGAGCAUCAGUUUCUGCUCUCAGCUUUCAUGUUAGCAGAGUUUAACCAGUAUAAAACCUGUUAGAGGAUCAUCAAUUGGGUUUGCCUUAGUUUGACUUUGUUCUGUUGUAAGUCUGAGCUGAUAUUUUUUCUUUAACGUUGGGGUCUGAAGAAAAAACAGUAUGUGUAGAAGUGUGUUUCGGUUUGCACCACUUCUGUUUCUGUUGGGGAUGUACACCGCCAGUGAAGAAACAGACUAUCACAGUCUUUACCCCACUCAGACGAUAACAGGCAUCACAGUAUUUAUAGCUGUAGUGAUCUUCACUGCCAUAAUCAUGAGGAAAGUUCAACUCAGGAGGGGAACUCAGACAAAGCUGCUUUACCCCUCCAACGAGACAAAGGUGGUAAGAAUUUGUCUGCAGAGUAUUUUAGUUCAACAUUUCAAUUUGACAACAUUAAUGAAAAAAAAAACAUUGCCUUCAGAUUACAUUUUACAGUGAAUACAAUGUCUUUCUAGGAGGAGCAGCAACCAGACAUCGAGCCCUACGACACAUUCAUGAAGAGAGACAACACGGUUUACUCAACCCUUCAGCAGCCAGAUCCUAACCCCUGACCCUGACUUACUGGCACUGUUGACCAAUGACAACAUGCUAAAGCAUGUAGUGGGUUGAAUGUUAUUUCACCAGCCCUGGAAAUGCCUGCAGCCAUACAUUAUAGAUGUAGUUGUUUUGUUCAACACUAGAACCGCCACGGGGUAAAUUAUACUUGUGAAUUUUCUUUGUACAUAACUAAGUUUGAAUAAAAUAUUGAGGUCUUCCAGCCUUUGACUUUUACUAAAAAAUAUGGGCAUUUAUACCUAUAACCGCCACAGGGUAAAUUUUACCCGUAUA